GACAGAGGGUGCAAACGUUGUUCGGAAUUACUGGGCGUAAAGCGAGUGUAGGCGGUCCGAUAAGUCGGGUGUGAAAGCCCUGGGCUCAACCCAGGAAGUGCACUCGAAACUGCCGGGCUAGAGUAUCGGAGAGGUUGGUGGAAUUCUCGGUGUAGAGGUGAAAUUCGUAGAUAUCGAGAGGAACACCGGUGGCGAAGGCGGCCAACUGGACGAAUACUGACGCUGAGACUCGAAAGCGUGGGGAGCAAACAAG
rnacentral:rRNA from 1 species